CCUACGGGUGGCUGCAGUAGGGAAUAUUGGACAAUGGACGCAAGUCUGAUCCAGCCAUGCCGCGUGAAGGAAGAAGGCGCUCAGCGUUGUAAACUUCUUUUGGACGGGGACAAACCGCUUCAUUUAUGGGGCGCUGAGGGUACCGUCAGAAUAAGCACCGGCUAACUCCGUGCCAGCAGCCGCGGUAAUACGGAGGGUGCAAGCGUUAUCCGGAAUCACUGGGUUUAAAGGGUGCGUAGGCGGCCCGAUAAGUCAGUCGUGAAAUCGCUGGGCUUAACCCAUGCAAUUGCGAUUGAUACUGUUGGACUUGAAUGAGGUUGAGGUAGGCGGAAUGUGGCAUGUAGCGGUGAAAUGCAUAGAUAUGCCAUAGAACACCGAUUGCGAAGGCAGCUUGCUGGGCCUUCAUUGACGCUGAGGCACGAAAGCGUGGGGAGCAAACAGGCUUAGAUACCCCGGUAGUC
rnacentral:rRNA from 1 species